rnacentral:rRNA from 1 species
UACAGAGAGUGCAAGCGUUAAUCGGAAUUACUGGGCGUAAAGGGUGCGUAGGUGGAUUGGUAAGUCAGUGGUGAAAUCUCCGGGCUUAACCCGGAAACUGCCAUUGAUACUAUCAGUCUUGAAUACCGUGGAGGUCAGCGGAAUAUGUCAUGUAGCGGUGAAAUGCUUAGAUAUGACAUAGAACACCAAUUGCGAAGGCAGCUGGCUACACGAAUAUUGACACUCAGGCACGAAAGCGUGGGGAUCAAACAGG